rnacentral:misc_RNA from 1 species
AGAAAGAAGCUCAAACCAAUGGCACAAGUAGAAAUGGCAAGCCCUAAGGAAGGUGCAAGAACUGCAUAAGUGCCUGUAGCAAAUGCAACCACCAUUGCUCCCAUGGCAAGGAAGAUAAACCUGAAGGCAGUUUUUAUUAACCAGUAGUAUUUUGGUCCAUAUCCUAGCAUCACCAUGAUGAAGUAUAUAAAGACAGAAGAAGUAGAAAGAGCCAUAGCUAGAGCGUCUGAUAUAAUAAAUGCUUUAAAAGCUGAAUUUUUUAUCAGAAUGGGAGUGCCUUUCCCUGAGUCUUUUUCAUCACUUAUAUAACCACCAGGUAAGGUGAAUGCGGCUGCAAAAGUUACGGUUGCUACAAGUGCUGCGGCCACCAGAUGUGAGUCUUUGGCUUUUUCUAAUUGAAGUAUUAUCUGUUCUUCUCUCUUUUUUGCCAUUUCUGUUUUACGUUCCGGAUGACGUUUCGUAACUUUGAAAUGAUCUUCGUUGCUCCAAAGCAAGGAAUUCUCUAUGGUAAAGUCUUCGGGGAGGCUACAGUAUAAUUUCUUCCAAAGGAUGAAGGCAUCAGUAUCUCCAUCAAGUAUGAAAGAAGAUAAAGGGAGAUUAAGAGCCUUGAAUACAAGGACAGGCGUAUUCCCAUUAUUAUCUUUCUCAAUUAUGAGGGAAAUUAAUGAUGACUCUUCAAGGAUUGCUUUCAGUACUUCUUCAUUUC